GAUGAACGCUGGCGGCGUGCCUAAUACAUGCAAGUCGAGCGAACGGACGAGAAGCUUGCUUCUCUGAUGUUAGCGGCGGACGGGUGAGUAACACGUGGAUAACCUUCCUAUAAGACUGGGAUAACUUCGGGAAACCGUAGCUAAUACCGGAUAAUAUUUUGAACCGCAUGGUUCAAAAGUGAAAGACGGUCUUGCUGUCACUUAUAGAUGGAUCCGCGCUGCAUUACCUAGUUGGUAAGGUAACGGCUUACCAAGGCAACGAUGCAUAGCCGACCUGAGAGGGUGAUCGGCCACACUGGAACUGAGACACGGUCCAGACUCCUACGGGAGGCAGCAGUAGGGAAUCUUCCGCAAUGGGCGAAAGCCUGACGGAGCAACGCCGCGUGAGUGAUGAAGGUCUUCGGAUCGUAAAACUCUGUUAUUAGGGAAGAACAUAUGUGUAAGUAACUGUGCACAUCUUGACGGUACCUAAUCAGAAAGACACGGCUAACUACGUG
rnacentral:rRNA from 1 species